UUUCAGAGCCUCCAAGCUGCUAAAUUCGUUCUAGAAAGAAACACUAGGAUUUUGGAGUUGGAAGCUUUCAAAUCUAAGCUUUUAUAAACACAUGGGAAGUAAGUUGGAGUGUGAUUUUGGUAUUGAGGUGUUGAUCAAAGUUCUAAGCUAUCCAAGGUGUUUGAUUUUUUUGAAAGUUAAGGUUUUCGAUGGUGCAAGUAAAUGAACAUGGAAGGCGGGACAGAUCCUAGGUGGCUUUGGCAUGUGUAUUGGGAGAGGACUAAAGGAAUGGACCAAUGGAAUCGAUUGAGAAUGACGUUGACAUUUGAGUCUUUUAUUUAUGUAUUUAUGAUUUCCCCAUUUAGCAUUUGAACAUUUAUAAUAAAUGUUUAAUUUUUUUUAUGAUUUUAUGUAUAAACAAUGAG